rnacentral:rRNA from 1 species
CCAUCGCAAGAUGGCCGCAGUGAAAUGAUCCAAGCGACUGUUUACCAAAAACACAGGUCUCUGCAAAGUCGAAAGACGACGUAUAGGGGCUGACGCCUGCCCAGUGCCGGAAGGUUAAGGAAGUUGGUCAGCGAAAGUGAAGCUAACGACUGAAGCCCCGGUGAACGGCGGCCGUAACUAUAACGGUCCUAAGGUAGCGAAAUUCCUUGUCGGGUAAGUUCCGACCCGCACGAAAGGCGUAACGAUUUGGAUGCUGUCUCGGAGAGAGACUCGGCGAAAUAGGAUUGUCUGUGAAGAUACGGACUACUUGCACCCGGACAGAAAGACCCUAUGAAGCUUUACUAUAACUUGGAAUUGGGUUCGGGC